UUAGAACUGAAGUAGUAGGCUGGCUAUUCACUGCUUUAGUAUGAAAACUAUUUCACAUUUAUCACAAAUCAAUAUAUUUAAUAUACAUUAAAUUAAUUUUUAUUCAAAUUCUUUAACGCGGUCCAACCAAAGCAAGCGCGAAAUCAAUGCAAAAUUUAAACGAAAAGACUAUCGAGUAAUCGAUUACAAUUAACUUUUUGGUGUAAAAAUACCGCGAAUUACAAAAAUUCCUUUUUCAGGUUCUUUAUUUUAUCACCAUUGCUAUGCAAAUAAAAUUCAUUGUGAUUUUACCCUUCCUAAUUAAAAAAGUUAUUUGUAAUAAUCAGAAAAGACAACAAGCAAAUGCUACACUGUUGAUUUUUUAAUAUACCAGAUUUAACAGCUGAUUAAAAGCAUAUAUCGCAUAAAGUGAAACCAGGGCUGCAGGACGAAUGUUACGUUCGCCCCAUGUAAAAACCCAUAAGAAAAAAACGUCGGUUUUUCUACGUUCGCGAGCUACGUAGAAAUAGCGAACGCACUUUUUAGGUAAUUAUGCGAUAUUUUGAUCGAUAUGACAACGAAAAAGAGCUCACCACUAAACAAACAGCUGACAUUUAAGUGCGCCAAGAUGAGCCAAAAAACUCGAAAGCCGUCAAUAUCGUGGAGUGGCAUCCACGAGGCUAUGUUGUUCGAGUUAUGAGAGGAGAAAUGUAGUGCCUUUUUUGGCCAAUCCACAAAGGCGCUCCACAAGGGUGCCAAACUCCUCCCUAUUAAUUCGAAAAUUAUCUUAAAAAAAUGAUUCGUUGUUUCCAGGAACAUCGCGCUCCCAAAAACACCCAUGCUGUUGCUAAAAAGUAAAUGUAUUUAUGUAAAUAUUACAUUGCUGCCAGCAAAUCUACUUAUGUACAUAGCCCCAAACUGAUGGCGAUUUCUUUACUAUUGGCAAUGGCCUAUACUCUAUACUCCGCUAAUUUUCCCUCCACUUCAUCAAAAUCCUCAUAAAGAUCCUGCAAUUUAAUAAAAUUUUUCAUUUUAAAAUGCGCGUGCUGUUUUUUGAAUUGUUCGCCAACUCGUGUUUACAUUUGAACAGCUGACAUUUCAG